rnacentral:rRNA from 2 species
GGCGGGUGCUAUACAUGCAAGUCGAGCGGACAGAUGGGAGCUUGCUCCCUGAUGUUAGCGGCGGACGGGUGAGUAACACGUGGGUAACCUGCCUGUAAGACUGGGAUAACUCCGGGAAACCGGGGCUAAUACCGGAUGCUUGUUUGAACCGCAUGGUUCAGACAUAAAAGGUGGCUUCGGCUACCACUUACAGAUGGACCCGCGGCGCAUUAGCUAGUUGGUGAGGUAACGGCUCACCAAGGCGACGAUGCGUAGCCGACCUGAGAGGGUGAUCGGCCACACUGGGACUGAGACACGGCCCAGACUCCUACGGGAGGCAGCAGUAGGGAAUCUUCCGCAAUGGACGAAAGUCUGACGGAGCAACGCCGCGUGAGUGAUGAAGGUUUUCGGAUCGUAAAGCUCUGUUGUUAGGGAAGAACAAGUGCCGUUCAAAUAGGGCGGCACCUUGACGGUACCUAACCAGUAAGCCACGGCUAACUACGUGCCAGCAGCCGCGGUAAUACGUAGGUGGCAAGCGUUGUCCGGAAUUAUUGGGCGUAAAGGGCUCGCAGGCGGUUUCUUAAGUCUGAUGUGAAAGCCCCCGGCUCAACCGGGGAGG